rnacentral:rRNA from 1 species
AAUGGACGGAAGUCUGACCGAGCAACGCCGCAUGAGUGAAGAAGGUUUUCGGUAUCGUAAAGCUCUGUUGUAAGAGAAGAACGAGUGUGAGAGUGGAAAGUUCACACUGUGACGGUAUCUUACCAGAAAGGGACGGCUAACUACGUGCCAGCAGCCGCGGUAAUACGUAGGUCCCGAGCGUUGCUCGGUCAGACUUCCGUCCAUU